CUCACCCAGUCACGUGCCUACUGUUGCUGCCCCCAUCUAGUAGAAUGAACUCUGGAGAGAAAAUCAUGGUUUAAAACACCGACUUUGUUACUAAUAACUCAAAUGGCCUUGAACUAGCCUCUUUCUCUUUGCGUCUCAGUGUUCUUAUCUGUGAUAUGGGGGAAGUUGGACUAGAUGACCUCUAAAUCCUCUGCUGUUCUUUGUCCCACACGUGCAGAGGAAUACCAGCAUUCCUCUGUCCUUGAGACUGAUAAGAUAUAGAGCUAGCACUAGCCUUGCAUACCAUAGAUAUUGGAGGAAGAUGUAACUUGUUUUUUAUUUGAUUUGAUUCCCUGCCUGCUGAAAGGGCUUGAGUUUGUAUAUCUCCUGAACAAAACAGAAGCACCCCGCUUGCUGUGUGGUAUGUCUCAACCCCUAGAGGCUUCAUGUUCCCCAAAUCUGCUGGGAAAAGGUUCUUCUUUUGACUUCGCAUCUGUCCCUCUGGACCCGUCUGCUGACUCCAGCUCCAUCUGAUGUGAUAAGUGUCUGCUUUGACCUAUGUAAACAAGAGGUGAAUGAAGAUUGAGACAGAAUGGACCAAGCUUCAACCUUCUGCAUUUCGAAGGGUGUCUCACCUAUCCUGAAUUUUAAAGCCCGUUGGUGUGAGACACUUUCCUCACUGGUGAAGAUCAGUGCCCUGGGUCUGCAUGAGCAGUGGAGUAGACUUGGCAAGAGAAGAGAGAUUUUCUCUUUCUGUUGUUCAGAAGUUUCUUUGGGCUUUUCAGAUCUGGUUUUGAGGUGGAAGAUAGAAGAUGCCAAUAUCACUUUAGACUGUUAAAGUAAAAGAAUCUGGGAAGAAGCCAACAUGAGAGGAGUUGUCAAUCUGUCAUGUCCCCAUUCUCAUUCUCCUACAUUAGAAAUUUUAGGGAACUUCCCCUUGGGCAAAAUCUAGAAAUCUCUCUUGGUUGAGCUGAACUACCUCUCUCCCAAUGGGAGAACUCCUUCAUUCUGUAUUUUCUGGUAUACAUCCUCAUAUGCAAUGAUGGCAAACCUUUUAGAAAUUGAGUACUGGGCCCCGCCCCAAUGACACACCCCUAGACCCAGUGUUGUGCCCCCCCCCCCAGACCAUGUGCCAUGUCCAGCACCUCAGGGGAGGAGGAAGUACUCCCAUUGGGCUACUGGGCAGAGGGGUGGGUGAUAUGAAAAAAUAUCAUCAGGCACAGUGGAGAGAGGGAAGGGAGCAACUCUGCCCAAGUCCUUCUGCCUUUCUAGUAAUGAAUUCUGCAAGCCACCUUUGGCACCUGUACCAUAUGUUCACUAUCACUGCUGGCAUGUAUUCCCUCGUGAAUGUCUACUUUGCUCCGAUGUGAAUAAAUAGAUUGGUCUCCCAUCUGUUUCA
rnacentral:lncRNA from 1 species